rnacentral:tRNA from 1 species
GAGGGCAGAGCUCAGUGGUAGAGCACAUGCUUAGCACACACGAGGUCCUGGGUUCAAUCCCUGGUACCUUAG